GCCCUCUGCCCUACUAUCUGCAGCUGCCAGGCUUCAAUUUCCAAUCGAUGUAGACGAAGAUCAGCUCGCCCUCUCCAGUCCUUAGCAGAGUUUGGGAAACAGGGUUGAUAAGGUCUUCACUACAAUGGCAUAUGAAAAUAUGGUGAAUGAAUUGCAUGAAAACAUUGGGAUGCCAAUUGAGAAAGGUCUUCACUACAAGAAUUGCUAAUUACACGAUAAAUUGUUGAUGCUUUUUGCUAAAGAUUGUGAAAAGAGAGGAGCUAAAGGGGGGUCAAUUUGGUGGUAGCUCAAUAGGCAGAGGAGUAUUUGAUGGUAUUCCUUUGCAAGAUGUAGUUGGUCGACAAGAGAUGAAAUAUUCAAGAGGUAGUUUAAAAGCAUAAGGGAAGCAAUUAAAGAUGUAGCAGAAGCAAUCAGGGAGGGGAUGUUAUAGCUGAUGAGAGAGGAGGACCACAUGUUUAAUCAGAGCUGGAAGUAUUUGAAGAAUUAGUGAACAUCAGUGUUGAAA